AUUGAACGCUGGCGGCAGGCCUAACACAUGCAAGUCGAACGAGUGGCGGACGGGUGAGUAAUGUAUGGGAAACUGCCCGAUGGAGGGGGAUAACUACUGGAAACGGUAGCUAAUACCGCAUACCAUCGGAUGUGCCCAGAUGGGAUUAGCGAGGAGGUGGGGUAACGGCUAACCUAGGCGACGAUCCCUAGCUGGUCUGAGAGGAUGACCAGCAACACUGGAACUGAGACACGUUCCAGACGCCUACGGGAGGGAGCAGUGGGGAUUAUUGAACAAUGGGCGCAAGCCUGAUGCAGCCAUGCCGCGUGUAUGAAGAAGGCCUUCGGGUUGUAAAGUACUUUCAGCGAGGAGGCGUUACUCGCAGAAGAAGCACCGGCUAACUCCGUGCCAGCAGCCGCGGUAAUUC
rnacentral:rRNA from 1 species